GCUGGGAAUACAUCAUGAGUUACCUGCCCAGAGGGUUUCUGCGGGUGAAGAAUCUUUGCUUUCACCUGGACUUUGCUUGCAGUGAAUGGGAAACUUCACAGCAGCUGCCCUCUUCACUGGAAUUCUCUAAGGUGCCUGUUCAGCCCUAUGGAAACGGCUGCCAGAUUCUUCUGUUUUCUUCAUGGAAAGCUCCCAAGUUUUUCUCUCCAAAAUCCCUUAGAAGUGCUUUGGCCAGUGGAAGAGAGGGGUCUUCAACGUCUUUCAAAGAACAGCUAAGAAAUAGUGGCUCAGUGAAGUUGCUAGUUAUGGGAACGCCACCUGCUGUGGGAGCUGCCAGUGACGGGAAGCCCAAAUCAGCAAGAUGAGCCCCAGCCGCAGGCCUCACAUUCUGGCAGUCUCCACGAGCCAAGAGGUGUCCAUGCCAAGUCCUCAUUCCCAUGGUGAUGCCUUAUGGGCUCCAUCAUGUUAGCCAGAAUAUACCCUGGGAGAUUAUACCUGGGAGACACGUAGCUCAACAAGUACGGAACAUGUCUUCCCUGCUGGUAUUGGGGGGACAGGAUGAAUAUCUGUCUGAUAAGCUCACUGAGAUAUGUUAGGCUUGUUCCCUGUGAAUAAUUUAUAUUUUGAGAAACCUAGUACUUUCAAAUUCAUACAAUAAUGAGCUGUGUUAUAUUAGGA
ensembl:lncRNA novel transcript